rnacentral:rRNA from 1 species
UACGGGGGGAGCAAGCGUUGUUCGGAUUUACUGGGCGUAAAGGGCGCGUAGGCGGCGCAACAAGUCACUUGUGAAAUCUCCGGGCUUAACCCGGAGCGGUCAAGUGAUACUGUCGUGCUAGAGUGCGGAAGGGGCUACUGGAAUUCUCGGUGUAGCGGUGAAAUGCGUAGAUAUCGAAGAGGAACACCUGCGGCGAAGGCGAGUCCCUGGACGAUACCUGACACUGGAGGCAACGAAAGCUAGGGGAGCAAACAGG